UACAGAGGGGGCAAGCGUUGUUCGGAAUUACUGGGCGUAAAGGGCGCGUAGGCGGCCGCCUAAGUCAGACGUGAAAUCCCUCGGCUCAACCGGGGAACUGCGUCUGAUACUGGGUGGCUUGAAUUCGGGAGAGGGAUGCGGAAUUCCAGGUGUAGCGGUGAAAUGCGUAGAUAUCAGGAGGAACACCGGUGGUGUAGACGGCUCACUGGACCGUAACUGACGCUGAGACACGAAAGCGUGGGUAGCAAACAGG
rnacentral:rRNA from 1 species